rnacentral:rRNA from 1 species
CACGUAGGCGGCAUGGUAAGUCAUGGGUGAAAGCCCUCGGCUCAACCGAGGAACUGCCUUUGAAACUGCCUUGCUUGAGUCCGGGAGGGGGGGGCGGAAUUCCCAGUGUAGCGGUGAAAUGCGUAGAUACUGGGAGGAACACCGGUGGCGAAGGCGGCUCCCUGGACCGGUACUGACGCUGAGGUGCGAAAGCGUGGGUAGCAAACA